rnacentral:rRNA from 1 species
UACGUAGGCAGCGAGCGUUGUUCGGAAUUACUGGGCGUAAAGAGUGUGUAGGCGGUGCUCUAAGUUCGGUGUGAAAUCUCCUGGCUCAACUGGGAGGGUGCGCCGGAAACUGGAGUGCUUGAGCGUGGGAGAGGAAAGCGGAAUUCCUGGUGUAGCGGUGAAAUGCGCAGAUAUCAGGAGGAACACCGGUGGCGAAGGCGGGUCUCUGGGCCGAAAUUGACGCUGAGGAGCGAAGCGUGGGGAGCAAACAGG